CAGCAGCCGCGGUAAUACGAACCGUCCGAACGUUAUUCGGAAUUACUGGGCUUAAAGCGCGUGUAGGCGGGUCGGCACGUCGGACGCUGAGAUCCCCCGGCUUAACCGGGGAAGUGGCGCCGAUACGGCCGGCCUGGAGGGGGGUAGGGGGGCCUGGAACUUCCGGUGGAGCGGUGAAAUGCGUUGAGAUCGGAAGGAACGCCCGUGGCGAAAGCGAGGCCCUGGACCUUUUCUGACGCUGAGACGCGAAAGCCAGGGGAGCGAACGGGAUUAGAUACCCGAGUAGUCCCUGUCUCUUAUA
rnacentral:rRNA from 1 species